UGUUCAUCAGACUGUCCAAGACAGGAAGUUGAGGAAUAAAGUUGACAGGACAUCCUGAACUGUCCUCGCUACCAGCUUAUGAGGGAACCAGCUGCAGUGGACAAAGUACGUUACAUCAUAGGAUAAUAGCAUUGAAUUGGAUUCUUGAACCAGAGCCAUGUGAACCUGGUCCACCUGUACCUCUCAUUGAAGACCUGUUAACAUCACCAGAGUAUGUUCAUUCUGAUACCCCUAUGGUAUGGUUACAGCAUGCAUUAUCCCUGAAUCCAUUAAAAGAGCUGCAUUGGCAACGAAACAACCCAAUGUGGUCGAUUGUAAGGAAAUAUAGCAUAUCAGCUUCCAACUUUGGUGCAGUUCUCAGUUCUAAGCAAAGGCGAUUGACAUUGUCACUGAAGAAACAGCUGAUGUCGGCUUACAAUCUGGAGUCCAUCAAGGCUGUUGCAUGGGGUAUCACUCAUGAAGAUGAUGCUUUGAGAAAGUAUAAAAAGGAAUUUGAUGCAGCUGUAGAGCAGUCAGGAUAUGGUUGCAUGAAUCCGGAGUGUUGGGAGCUUCAUCUGAUGGCUUAGUUGUUCGACCACCAACAUGCAGUGUAUUUUAUCAAACCCCAGAAGCCAAAGACGCCAUUCCUGAUAUUGUAGAGGUGAAGUGUCCAUAUACAGCAUUGUCUUCAACAGUAGCAGAUGGGGCACAAAAUUUGAAGGAUUUUUCAUAGAUCUUAAACAAGAUACCCUGUGCCUGAAAACCAGUCACCCAUACUAUCAUCAAAUUCAAGGCCAGCUACACAUAUGUAACAAAACAUUCUGCGACUUAAUUGUGUGGACAAGAGUAGACUGCAUUGUGAUUAGAAUAGUAAAAGACAUUGAAUGGACAGCAAAUGUUCCAAAGCUGAUAGAUUUCUACAUUAACAUUUUCAUUCCAGCACUGAUGGAAAACUGAGUUCUGGUUUGAACUUCUUGACACUUAGUUUUGUACCUCUAGAAUUUUCUAACAAUGGAAAAUGGGUAAUCAUGUUAAAUGUGUUGAAUUUUCCUAAGUCUCAUAAAU